rnacentral:pre_miRNA from 12 species
UGGGGGGCAGCCAGGACUGGAUGGGGUAGCUGGGAAGGGCCAGAAGGGUGGCCUCACUCAGCCCUGUGUUCCCUAG